rnacentral:rRNA from 1 species
UUAGGUAAUACCGCAUACGCCCUGAGGGGGAAAGCUGGGGAUCUUCGGACCUAGCGUUAAUGGAGCGGCCGAUAUCUGAUUAGCUAGUAGGUGAGGUAAGAGCUCACCUAGGCGACGAUCAGUAGCUGGUCUGAGAGGACGACCAGCCACACUGGAACUGAGACACGGUCCAGACUCCUACGGGAGGCAGCAGUGGGGAAUAUUGCACAAUGGGCGCAAGCCUGAUCCAGCAACCCCACGUGAGGGAUGACGGCCUUCGGGUUGUAACCUCUUUCAGCAGGGAAGAA